GACGAACGCUGGCGGCGUGCUUAACACAUGCAAGUCAAGGGGGCCCGCAAGGGCAACCGGCGAACGGGUGCGUAACACGUGAGCAAUCUGCCUAGAUGUGGGGGAUAGCCGGCCCAACGGCCGGGUAAUACCGCAUACGCUCUCCGGGUGGCAUCACCUGGUGAGGAAACUUUCGAGGCAUCUAGAGGAGCUCGCGGCCUAUCAGCUAGUUGGUGGGGUAAUGGCCUACCAAGGCAUUGACGGGUAGCUGGUCUGAGAGGAUGGCCAGCCACAUUGGGACUGAGAUACGGCCCAGACUCCUACGGGAGGCAGCAGUGGGGAAUAUUGCGCAAUGGCCGAAAGGCUGACGCAGCGACGCCGCGUGGGGGAUGAAGCAUUUCGGUGUGUAAACCCCUGUUGCCCGGGACGAACAACUGGAUUCUUCCAGUCUGACGGUACCGGGUGAGGAAGCACCGGCUAACUCCGUGCCAGCAGCCGCGGUAA
rnacentral:rRNA from 1 species